rnacentral:ncRNA from 1 species
UGGAAAUAUGAAAUAACAGCAGGACAGCACUCCCGUUGGUUAGGAUGGAAGAAGUCCUAAUGGACUUAACCAUGUUUGAGACUGUCCCUUACUUUGUGGCAUCUAACGUAUAUCCUGG